rnacentral:rRNA from 1 species
UACAGAGGGUGCAAGCGUUAAUCGGAAUUACUGGGCGUAAAGCGCGCGUAGGUGGUUCGUUAAGUUGGAUGUGAAAUCCCCCGGGCUCAACCUGGGAACUGCAUUCAAAAACUGACGAGCUAGAGUAUGGUAGAGGGUGGUGGAAUUUCCUGUGUAGCGGUGAAAUGCGUAGAUAUAGGAAGGAACACCAGUGGCGAAGGCGACCACCUGGACUGAUACUGACACUGAGGUGCGAAAGCGUGGGGAGCAAACAGG